AAAUUGAAGAGUUUGAUCAUGGCUCAGAUUGAACGCUGGCGGCAGGCCUAACACAUGCAAGUCGAACGGUAGCACAGAGAGCUUGCUCUCGGGUGACGAGUGGCGGACGGGUGAGUAAUGUCUGGGAAACUGCCUGAUGGAGGGGGAUAACUACUGGAAACGGUGGCUAAUACCGCAUAACGUCGCAAGACCAAAGAGGGGGACCUUCGGGCCUCUUGCCAUCAGAUGUGCCCAGAUGGGAUUAGCUUGUUGGUGAGGUAACGGCUCACCAAGGCGACGAUCCCUAGCUGGUCUGAGAGGAUGACCAGCCACACUGGAACUGAGACACGGUCCAGACUCCUACGGGAGGCAGCAGUGGGGAAUAUUGCACAAUGGGCGCAAGCCUGAUGCAGCCAUGCCGCGUGUAUGAAGAAGGCCUUCGGGUUGUAAAGUACUUUCAGCGGGGAGGAAGGUGUUGUGGUUAAUAACCGCAGCAAUUGACGUUACCCGCAGAAGAAGCACCGGCUAACUCCGUGCCAGCAGCCGCGGUAAUACGGAGGGUGCAAGCGUUAAUCGGAAUUACUGGGCGUAAAGCGCACGCAGGCGGUCUGUCAAGUCGGAUGUGAAAUCCCCGGGCUCAACCUGGGAACUGCAUUCGAAACUGGCAGGCUUGAGUCUUGUAGAGGGGGGUAGAAUUCCAGGUGUAGCGGUGAAAUGCGUAGAGAUCUGGAGGAAUACCGGUGGCGAAGGCGGCCCCCUGGACAAAGACUGACGCUCAGGUGCGAAAGCGUGGGGAGCAAACAGGAUUAGAUACCCUGGUAGUCCACGCCGUAAACGAUGUCUACUUGGAGGUUGUGCCCUUGAGGCGUGGCUUCCGGAGCUAACGCGUUAAGUAGACCGCCUGGGGAGUACGGCCGCAAGGUUAAAACUCAAAUGAAUUGACGGGGGCCCGCACAAGCGGUGGAGCAUGUGGUUUAAUUCGAUGCAACGCGAAGAACCUUACCUGGUCUUGACAUCCACGGAAGUUUUCAGAGAUGAGAAUGUGCCUUCGGGAACCGUGAGACAGGUGCUGCAUGGCUGUCGUCAGCUCGUGUUGUGAAAUGUUGGGUUAAGUCCCGCAACGAGCGCAACCCUUAUCCUUUGUUGCCAGCGAUUAGGUCGGGAACUCAAAGGAGACUGCCAGUGAUAAACUGGAGGAAGGUGGGGAUGACGUCAAGUCAUCAUGGCCCUUACGACCAGGGCUACACACGUGCUACAAUGGCGCAUACAAAGAGAAGCGACCUCGCGAGAGCAAGCGGACCUCAUAAAGUGCGUCGUAGUCCGGAUUGGAGUCUGCAACUCGACUCCAUGAAGUCGGAAUCGCUAGUAAUCGUGGAUCAGAAUGCCACGGUGAAUACGUUCCCGGGCCUUGUACACACCGCCCGUCACACCAUGGGAGUGGGUUGCAAAAGAAGUAGGUAGCUUAACCUUCGGGAGGGCGCUUACCACUUUGUGAUUCAUGACUGGGGUGAAGUCGUAACAAGGUAACCGUAGGGGAACCUGCGGUUGGAUCACCUCCUUA
rnacentral:rRNA from 1 species